ACCGUCCCCCAAUACAUGGGUUUCCGAUGACGUCACAACCGUCCCCCAAUUCCCUUGUCCGCCAUCUUGUGUGUCCAAACAAACACUCGGAACCAAGAAUGCCUCCGUUGUUAUUUUUGUGAGAACCGCCAAUUCAGGACAAAGAACAACAAAGUACUACGACAUCCCCGAGGUUAUAGUAAAGCAGGGAAAAGAAACCGAGCGACUGUCGACAGAAAGGCGCAACCUGUGGCUAGCCAGAAUCAAUCGGGUGGGAUUUACCCCUGAUCCAGCAAAACGACAUUAUAAAGUUUGCUCUGAUCAUUUUGUAACAGGAAAACGAGGAGAUCUAUACGAUUUUACCAACCCGGACUGGGCGCCCUCCUUAAAAAUGGGACUAGAAGUACCCCAACUCGCAACCUGUUGAUCCACAAUCAUCUAAAAAGAGAUAUCAACGAGCAAAAGGCAGGCACGAAAAAUAUAAACGCUCUAAGGCAGCAGAAGGUCUCCUGGAGUUGCAGAGAGGGGUCAAAGUUCAGGCCGGCGCCAGCUCCACACACGACUGGAUCGGCCCCCCAACCCUCUGUCCAACCUGCGACCCGUGAUCUACCGCGUCCCCGAGAAUGAGUCCGAGCUGGAGGGACGCUUGAGGACUCUGAGGCAGGCCACCGAGGACUGGAACCACCGCUUCUGGACGACGCAGAAUCUCAGCUUCAGCAAGGGAGUGGUAUCGCCGCAACUUCGCCAUCACCUUCCUCAUGGCCCGCGUCACCCUGGGCAACCUGUGGAGGAGCGUCGCCAAUAAACACAACAGAUCUCAAACAUAA